GAGAGUGCUGAUGUGUCUUGUACUGUCAACUUAAAUAUCUCCAUACAGACAUGACAUAUAUCACUUCACUUCCAACCCAUUGGCUCUCCAGUGUGCCUAGAAGGAAAAGAGAAACAAACAGCCGCCAAUCAGGAAAGAAACAUAACGGGAGCAAGUGCUGGCUUUGCCUGGAAUUGAGCCGUCCUGCCCAAAGCAAAAGGGAAAAAUGAACUCUAGCAGAGUCGUGUCAGUUAAUGAAGGCUCCAGAAGGGCCGUUCUGGGGAGGACAUGAGGCACAAGGUAUAAGGCCACAGAGAGGAGCCACGAACUAUCAAGGAGAUGUGAAUGUAGAGACAAGAGGUGAAAAUGGUUAAUUGCAAAAAGUGUACGAGAGUUAUACCAGCAAGUGUUGUCAUACUCGGGAUGGCAGUGGAAUGUGCAGAAAUACGAAGACAUCGUAGGGAUUUCUGUUUCUAGCCUUGAUAAAGUAAUAAUGACUGGAUUUACCCUCUCAAGCAAUCUUAAAAUGGACAAAAUAUAUGCAACAACAGAUUUCGGACACUGGACAACAGGUGGGCAGGAGAAGGAUCCGGGAACAAAUGAGGAAAGUAUAAAGCAGAAAAUGAAUCAGUGCACUACACUGGUCUGGAGACACGGCUAUUUCAUGCUCAACAUAUGAUGACCCUUCUACGUGCACCUAAAUGUAGCAACAACUUUCAACUGUUGCCCAAGACUUCACUAAGACCUGGCUCCUGAGUUACCAGAAAACAUUUUGUAGAGUCACCAAUAUAAGAGAGAAUGAUAGUGUGCUUACUAUUUCCUUUGCCUGAGUUCUUUCCUUCAGACAUCUGCGUUUCUGUGUUCAAUGUUACCUUACAGACAGGCUCUCAGGGACAAUACUGUAGAAAACAGAAUCCCAUUCCCCACUCAGAACUCUGUAUCUUGCAGCUCUGCUUGUCUUCUCAGCUUUUGUGAUCACUAGACAUAUGUUGAAUUUAUUUAUGAGCAUUG